UACGAAGGGGGCUAGCGUUGCUCGGAAUUACUGGGCGUAAAGGGAGCGUAGGCGGACAGCUAAGUCAGAGGUGAAAGCCCAGGGCUCAACCCUGGAAUUGCCUUUGAUACUGGCUAUCUUGAGUAUGGGAGAGGUGUGUGGAACUCCGAGUGUAGAGGUGAAAUUCGUAGAUAUUCGGAAGAACACCAGUGGCGAAGGCGACUCACUGGCCCGAUACUGACGCUGAGGCGCGAAAGCGUGGGGAGCGAUCCGG
rnacentral:rRNA from 1 species